UACUACCGAAGCUACGGCAUCAGUAAUGAUGGGUAGGGGAGCUUCCCAUACGGGUUGAAGCAUGACCGUAAGGACAUGUGGACAGUAUGGGAGUGAGAAUGUUGGCAUGAGUAGCGAGAUGUGGGUGAGAAUCCCACAGGCCGUAAACCCAAGGUUUCCAGGGGAAGGUUCGUCCGCCCUGGGUUAGUCGGGACCUAAGCUGAGGCCGAAAGGCGUAGGUGAUGGACAACAGGUUGAUAUUCCUGUACUACCGAUAACCGGUUGAGAGAAGGGAUGACACAGUAGGAUAAGCUAAGCACACUGUUGGUUAUGUGUGCCCAAGCAUUGAGGCAGUCAAAGUAGGCAAAUCCGCUUUGAUAAUGCUGGGAUGUGAUGGGGAGCGAAAUUUAGUAGCGAAGUAGCUGAUUUCACACUGUCAAGAAAAGUCUCUAUCGAGGUUAAAGGUACCCGUACCGCAAACCGACACAGGUGGGUGAGGAGAGUAUCCUAAGGCCAGCG
rnacentral:rRNA from 1 species